rnacentral:tRNA from 1 species
UCCCUUGUGGUCUGGUGGCUAAGACUCUGUGCUCCCAAUGCAGGGACCUGGGUUCAAUCCCUGGUCAGGGAA